CAGAGCAAUUCUCUUAAUUCUUGAAAUUCUUCAAACAUUAAGUUGGUAUAAGAGCUCUCAAUGGUCAAUGCUAGUGAAAAUUUUGUCGAAAAUCCCAAGGUCACCGGAUUUAGCAACUCACCGUUAAAUCAGCUCUUGAAUCAAAUCACAAGCGUAAAGCUCGAAAGAGGAAAUUUUAUGUUAUGGAAGACGACGAUGCUUCCAACUCUGUGAAGCUAUAAAUUGGAAGAGAAUAUCUCAGGUAAGACCCCUUGUCCUUCAAUGUUUGUUUCAUUAUCUAUGAGUGAAUUGGCCGAAGCAAGUGUCAAAGCAUCAAGCUUAGUGACAGAAAAAGUUAUUAAUCCUCUUUAUAAAGCUUGGGUCAUUGUAGAUUAGCUGCUUUUGGGCUAGUUAUACAACUCUAUGUCCUUGAAGUUGUUGUACAACUUAUGGAUUUUGAAAGUGCAAAAGCUUUGUAGGAAACGAUUUAGGAAUUAUGAUAAUUUGGCACAGGCAAGUAGCCUAGUCCCAACCAGAUAGUUGGUUUCUCAAGUGUUACUUGGCUGGACGAGGAGUACAACCCUGUGGUGGUUAUGAUUCAAAGUAAGCCUGAUAUCUCAUGGCUUGAUAUGCAGUUUGAGCUAUUGUCAUUUGAGAAAAGACUUGAGCAUCAAAACACAACAAAGGCUAAUGGAUUGUAUGCACAUAAUGCCUCAGCCAACGUGGUCUAUAACAAAGGAGUAGGAAGUUCAAAGCCUCAGAAUCAAGGAAGUAAUCAAGGUAACAACAGAAAACAAAAAUACAGUGGUUAGAGAGGUAGCUUUGGUUAUAAUGGCAAUUUCAAUAGAAAUAGAGGUCGAGAAAGAGGCCGAGGAAGUUGACCUACAUGUCAGGUGUGCUCAAAAUAUGGUCAUGUAGUUGAUGUCUAUUACCAUAGGUAUGAUCGAGAAUUUUUGCUUGUUCAGAAUCAAGGGAAAGGCAAUGGAACCCUUGCUUCAAAUGGAAACAACCCAUCUGCUUUUGUAGCCUCACAGAAUAAUCAUCUGUUUAUAGCUAUUCCAAAAAUGGUUGGUGAUAAAAAUUGGUAUGCUAAUAAUGGGGCAACCAAUCAUGUAAUAGAAAACUUCAACAACAUUGCCAAUCCUACUGACUAUGGAGCCUUCACUCAUUUUGUGCAGGUGGAUAAAACAAAAUUUCACAAAUAUAUUAAAAAGUUACAAUCAGAAAAAGGAGGUGAAUGCACUCAUAUUCAUCAGUUGUGUAUGAGAGGAUAGAUUCUCGGUUCUCAUGUCCUUAUACACCAGCCCAAAAUGGUAGAGCAGAAAGGAAACACAGGCAUCUUAUUGAAACAGGACUCGCAUUAUUAGCACAAGCUUCUAUGCCUCUAAAGUUCUGAUGGGACGUGUUUCUCAUGGCCGCAACUCUGAUAAAUGGCUUGCCAACAUUGGUUCUUCAUGAAAAACAGGGGUACCGUGGAGAGUUUGGUCGAUUCCGGGAGUUCUAGGGCAAUUCGGACGUCCAAACUUUGAGGUAAGUUAAUUAAGAGGAUGGGUAAAAGGUUUUUAUAGGCCAAUUAAGAUUUAAAUUUUCGGAAAAUGAUGAAUUUAAAUCUGAAACGCU